rnacentral:pre_miRNA from 1 species
AAAUGGUAAAACCCUGAAUUUCCGUGUCCAAUUUUGACUGUCCGUCUUAUAUGAAAUUUUUUUUAUAAUUCGUAUUUUUAUUGUUGUUAGGUGAUAAAAUAUGAUUAAUAUUUUAUGUGCGACUUGUCUUUUUAAUUUUUUUAAAUAAGACGGACAGUUAAAUGUUGGACACAGAAAUUAUGGUU